GCCGCAGUAACUCAGUUGGUAGAGUAGCUGAUUCGUAAUCAGCAAGUCGGAGGUUCGACUCCUCUCUGCGGCA
rfam:Nitrosomonas europaea ATCC 19718, complete genome